CCUACGGGGUGCUGUAGUCGAGAAUCAUUCACAAUGGGGGAAACCCUGAUGGUGCGACGCCGCGUGGGGGAAUGAAGGUCUUCGGAUUGUAAACCCCUGUCAUGUGGGAGCAAAUUAAAAAGAUAGUACCACAAGAGGAAGAGACGGCUAACUCUGUGCCAGCAGCCGCGGUAAUACAGAGGUCUCAAGCGUUGUUCGGAAUCACUGGGCGUAAGGCGUGCGUAGGCUGUUUCGUAAGUCGUGUGUGAAAGGCGCGGGCUCAACCCGCGGACGGCACAUGAUACUGCGAGACUAGAGUAAUGGAGGGGGAACCGGAAUUCUCGGUGUAGCAGUGAAAUGCGUAGAUAUCGAGAGGAACACUCGUGGCGAAGGCGGGUUCCUGGACAUUAACUGACGCUGAGGCACGAAGGCCAGGGGAGCGAAAGGGAUUAGAUACCCCGGUAGUC
rnacentral:rRNA from 1 species